CUAAAAUGGAGAAACCUAGCAUACAGAAGAACUGAUGCACGCCUUGUCAUGUUCUAUAAAAUUUCAUACCACCUCAUAGCCAUCACAAAAACAGACAGACUUAUACAACCGCUCAGACAGUCCCGGAACAUGCACGCACUCUCAUAUCAGAUUCCAUCCUGCAGAACGCAAAUACGCCAACAAUCAUUCUUUCCACGCACAAUAAAAAACUGGAACAGCCUUCCUCUGAGUAUUGUUAUGAGCGACUCUAUAGAGUCAUUCAA
rnacentral:lncRNA from 1 species